UACGGAGGAUCCAAGCGUUAUCCGGAAUUACUGGGCGUAAAGAGUUGCGUAGGUGGCAUAGUAAGUAAAUAGUGAAAUCGUGUGGCUCAACCAUACACCCAUUAUUUAAACUGCUAAGCUAGAGUAUGAGAGAGUAGAUGGAAUUCCCUGUGUAGGAGUGAAAUCCGAUAGAUAUAGGGAGGAAACUCCGAUGCGUAGGCAGUCUACUGGCUCAUUACUGACAUAAGGCACGAAAAGCGUGGGGGAGC
rnacentral:rRNA from 1 species